UGCACAGUGAUGAUGAAGAAUAGUAAUUGAAAAGUUUCCUCUAAAGAGAGCUGGUGGUGGGUGUAAACCAGUGUGGAACGUUUGAUGAAUGGCCUUCUGAACUUCCAGACCGAACCAUACUAGUUAUGCAGUAGGCUUUGGCGAACGUCUUAUCGAUAAAAAAGACAGCUAUUAAGUUUUAACUUGAUAGUAAAGUGAGCUGUUUAGGCAGCUAAUAAAGGUGGUACCACGGGUUCCUCGUCCUUUUC
rnacentral:ncRNA from 1 species